UUUAUGGAGAGUUUGAUCCUGGCUCAGAGUGAACGCUGGCGGCGUGCCUAAUACAUGCAAGUCGAACGAUGAAUCUUCUAGCUUGCUAGAAGUGGAUUAGUGGCGCACGGGUGAGUAACGCAUAGGUCAUGUGCCUCUUAGUUUGGGAUAGCCAUUGGAAACGAUGAUUAAUACCAGAUACUCCCUACGGGGGAAAGAUUUAUCGCUAAGAGAUCAGCCUAUGUCCUAUCAGCUUGUUGGUAAGGUAAUGGCUUACCAAGGCUAUGACGGGUAUCCGGCCUGAGAGGGUGAACGGACACACUGGAACUGAGACACGGUCCAGACUCCUACGGGAGGCAGCAGUAGGGAAUAUUGCUCAAUGGGGGAAACCCUGAAGCAGCAACGCCGCGUGGAGGAUGAAGGUUUUAGGAUUGUAAACUCCUUUUGUUAGAGAAGAUAAUGACGGUAUCUAACGAAUAAGCACCGGCUAACUCCGUGCCAGCAGCCGCGGUAAUACGGAGGGUGCAAGCGUUACUCGGAAUCACUGGGCGUAAAGAGCGCGUAGGCGGGAUAGUCAGUCAGGUGUGAAAUCCUAUGGCUUAACCAUAGAACUGCAUUUGAAACUACUAUUCUAGAGUGUGGGAGAGGUAGGUGGAAUUCUUGGUGUAGGGGUAAAAUCCGUAGAGAUCAAGAGGAAUACUCAUUGCGAAGGCGACCUGCUGGAACAUUACUGACGCUGAUUGCGCGAAAGCGUGGGGAGCAAACAGGAUUAGAUACCCUGGUAGUCCACGCCCUAAACGAUGGAUGCUAGUUGUUGGAGGGCUUAGUCUCUCCAGUAAUGCAGCUAACGCAUUAAGCAUCCCGCCUGGGGAGUACGGUCGCAAGAUUAAAACUCAAAGGAAUAGACGGGGACCCGCACAAGCGGUGGAGCAUGUGGUUUAAUUCGAAGAUACACGAAGAACCUUACCUAGGCUUGACAUUGAGAGAAUCCGCUAGAAAUAGUGGAGUGUCUAGCUUGCUAGACCUUGAAAACAGGUGCUGCACGGCUGUCGUCAGCUCGUGUCGUGAGAUGUUGGGUUAAGUCCCGCAACGAGCGCAACCCCCUUUCUUAGUUGCUAACAGGUCAUGCUGAGAACUCUAAGGAUACUGCCUCCGUAAGGAGGAGGAAGGUGGGGACGACGUCAAGUCAUCAUGGCCCUUACGCCUAGGGCUACACACGUGCUACAAUGGGGUGCACAAAGAGAAGCAAUACUGCGAAGUGGAGCCAAUCUUCAAAACGCCUCUCAGUUCGGAUUGUAGGCUGCAACUCGCCUGCAUGAAGCUGGAAUCGCUAGUAAUCGCAAAUCAGCCAUGUUGCGGUGAAUACGUUCCCGGGUCUUGUACUCACCGCCCGUCACACCAUGGGAGUUGUGUUUGCCUUAAGUCAGGAUGCUAAACUAGCUACUGCCCACGGCACACACAGCGACUGGGGUGAAGUCGUAACAAGGUAACCGUAGGUGAACCUGCGGUUGGAUCACCUCCUUUCUAGA
rnacentral:rRNA from 1 species